AAGUCGAGCGAACGGACGAGAAGCUUGCUUCUCUGAUGUUAGCGGCGGACGGGUGAGUCCCACGUGGAUAACCUACCUAUAAGACUGGGAUAACUUCGGGAAACCGGAGCUAAUACCGGAUAAUAUUUUGAACCGCAUGGUUCAAAAGUGAAAGACGGUCUUGCUGUCACUUAUAGAUGGAUCCGCGCUGCAUUAGCUAGUUGGUAAGGUAACGGCUUACCAAGGCAACGAUGCAUAGCCGACCUGAGAGGGUGAUCGGCCACACUGGAACUGAGACACGGUCCAGACUCCUACGGGAGGCAGCAGUAGGGAAUCUUCCGCAAUGGGCGAAAGCCUGACGGAGCAACGCCGCGUGAGUGAUGAAGGUCUUCGGAUCGUAAAACUCUGUUAUUAGGGAAGAACAUAUGUGUAAGUAACUGUGCACAUCUUGACGGUACCUAAUCAGAAAGCCACGGCUAACUACGUGCCAGCAGCCGCGGUAAUACGUAGGUGGCAAGCGUUAUCCGGAAUUAUUGGGCGUAAAGCGCGCGUAGGCGGUUUUUUAAGUCUGAUGUGAAAGCCCACGGCUCAACCGUGGAGGGUCAUUGGAAACUGGAAAACUUGAGUGCAGAAGAGGAAAGUGGAAUUCCAUGUGUAGCGGUGAAAUGCGCAGAGAUACGGAGGAACACCAGUGGCGAAGGCGACUUUCUGGUCUGUAACUGACGCUGAUGUGCGAAAGCGUGGGGAUCAAACAGGAUUAGAUACCCUGGUAGUCCACGCCGUAAACGAUGAGUGCUAAGUGUUAGGGGGUUUCCGCCCCUUAGUGCUGCAGCUAACGCAUUAAGCACUCCGCCUGGGGAGUACGACCGCAAGGUUGAAACUCAAAGGAAUUGACGGGGACCCGCACAAGCGGUGGAGCAUGUGGUUUAAUUCGAAGCAACGCGAAGAACCUUACCAAAUCUUGACAUCCUUUGACAACUCUAGAGAUAGAGCCUUCCCCUUCGGGGGACAAAGUGACAGGUGGUGCAUGGUUGUCGUCAGCUCGUGUCGUGAGAUGUUGGGUUAAGUCCCGCAACGAGCGCAACCCUUAAGCUUAGUUGCCAUCAUUAAGUUGGGCACUCUAAGUUGACUGCCGGUGACAAACCGGAGGAAGGUGGGGAUGACGUCAAAUCAUCAUGCCCCUUAUGAUUUGGGCUACACACGUGCUACAAUGGACAAUACAAAGGGCAGCGAAACCGCGAGGUCAAGCAAAUCCCAUAAAGUUGUUCUCAGUUCGGAUUGUAGUCUGCAACUCGACUACAUGAAGCUGGAAUCGCUAGUAAUCGUAGAUCAGCAUGCUACGGUGAAUACGUUCCCGGGUCU
rnacentral:rRNA from 1 species